UCCCAGAACUAGUCUCUAGGACCUUUAUAGCUGAGGAAGUCCUUAGACAGAAAUUCAUUGUAGUUUGCCUUUUUGUUGUUGUUCCUAUUAAAAGGGUGCCCUUGGGAUCGGAUCACAUAUUCCUGUUGGAUCCUCUUUAAUGACCUAACUUCUUUAAACUGUGAUUUUCUUUCAGCUCAUCAAAGUGGCUUUGGAGAAAAGCUUGGCAACUGUGGAGACCCAGAGCACAACUCUUCCCCCUCCUUCCCUGGUAGGAGGGGACAGUAACAGGUGUCUUCAGGAGGAGAUGCUUCACCUGAAGGCUGAGAUCCACCAGCACUUAGAGGAGAAGAAGAAAGCUGAGGGGGAACUCAAGGAGCUAAAGGCUCAAAUUGAGGAAGCAGGAUUCUCCUCUGUGUCACACAUCAGGAAUACCAUGCUGAGCCUUUGCCUUGAGAAUGCAGAGCUGAAAGAGCAGAUGGGAGAAGCAAUGUCCGAUGGAUGGGAGAUGGAGGAAGACAAGGAGAAGGGCGAGGUGAUGGUGGAGACUGUGGUCACCCAAAGGGGUCUGAAUGAGAAUAGCCUUCAGGCUGGGUUCAGAAAGCUCCAGGGGAAACUGAAGAAUGCCCACAACAUCAUCAACCUCCUCAAAGAACAGCUAGUACUGAGCAGCAAGGAAGGGAACAGUAAACUAAAUCCUGAGCUCCUUGUGCACCUGGCCAAGGAGAUUGACAGAAUGAACACAGACCUGGUUGGUUCUCCUGGGAAACACCAACACCAAGAGGAGGGGGCUGUGGCCACGAGGCCUUGUCCUAGACCCCAGAGCCUUGACCUUGAGGAAACCAUUGCAGUUGAUGCCCACCAAGUAAGUGAGGGCAUGGGUGGAGUGAAAAACAUUCCUAGAGAGUUCAGUUUUGACCUUAAACUCUUCCAUCUUGUGGGUCAGGAAAGGUACUUUUGUACCAUAACCAGUAGAUGGUAA
rnacentral:lncRNA from 1 species